GCCUCCUUAGUUAAGUGGUAUAACGGGUCCAUGGUAAGGACCUAUUCCUGGUCCGAUUCCGGGAGGAGGCACCA
rnacentral:tRNA from 1 species